UCCGUAGGUGAACUUGCGGAAGGAUCAUUA
rnacentral:rRNA from 1 species